rnacentral:rRNA from 1 species
AGCAGCCGCGGUAAUUCCAGCUCCAAUAGCGUAUAUUAAAGUUGUUGCAGUUAAAAAGCUCGUAGUUGAAUUUCGGGGUUAGUAGAUUGGUCAUGCCUCUGGUAUGCACUGGUCUUACUGAUUCCUCCUUCCUGAUGAACCGUAAUGCCAUUAAUUUGGUGUUGCGGGGAAACUGGACUGUUACUUUGAAAAAAUUAGAGUGUUUAAAGCAGGCUAACGCUUGAAUACAUUAGCAUGGAAUAAUGAAAUAGGACGUUCGAUCUUAUUUUGUUGGUUUCUAGGAUUGACGUAAUGAUUAAUAGGGAUAGUUGGGGGCAUUAGUAUUCAAUUGUCAGAGGUGAAAUUCUUGGAUUUAUUGAAGACUAACUACUGCGAAAGCAUUUGCCAAGGAUGUUUUCAUUAAUCAAGAACGAAAGUUAGGGGAUCGAAGACGAUCAGAUACCGUCGUAGUCUUAACCAUAAACUAUGCCGACUAGGGAUCGGGAUGAUGUUAAUUUUUUAAUGACUCAUUCGGCGCCGU